rnacentral:rRNA from 1 species
AGAGUUUGAUCAUGGCUCAGGAUGAACGCUGGCGGCGUGCCUAAUACAUGCAAGUCGNACGCUUUGUGCUUAAUUGAAAUGACGAGCUUGCUCUGAUUUGAUUUUUUGAUUUCAAAGAGUGGCGAACGGGUGAGUAACACGUGGGUAACCUACCUCUUAGCAGGGGAUAACAUUUGGAAACAAGUGCUAAUACCGUAUAAUACCAACAACCGCAUGGUUGUUGGUUGAAAGAUGGUUCUGCUAUCACUAAGAGAUGGACCCGCGGUGCAUUAGCUAGUUGGUAAGGUAAUGGCUUACCAAGGCAAUGAUGCAUAGCCGAGUUGAGAGACUGAUCGGCCACAAUGGGACUGAGACACGGCCCAUACUCCUACGGGAGGCAGCAGUAGGGAAUCUUCCACAAUGGGCGCAAGCCUGAUGGAGCAACGCCGCGUGUGUGAUGAAGGGUUUCGGCUCGUAAAACACUGUUAUAAGAGAAGAACGGCACUGAGAGUAACUGUUCAGUGUGUGACGGUAUCUUACCAGAAAGGAACGGCUAAAUACGUGCCAGCAGCCGCGGUAAUACGUAUGUUCCAAGCGUUAUCCGGAUUUAUUGGGCGUAAAGCGAGCGCAGACGGUUAUUUAAGUCUGAAGUGAAAGCCCUCAGCUCAACUGAGGAAUUGCUUUGGAAACUGGAUGACUUGAGUGCAGUAGAGGAAAGUGGAACUCCAUGUGUAGCGGUGAAAUGUGUAGAUAUAUGGAAGAACACCAGUGGCGAAGGCGGCUUUCUGGACUGUAACUGACGUUGAGGCUCGAAAGUGUGGGUAGCAAACAGGAUUAGAUACCCUGGUAGUCCACACCGUAAACGAUGAGUGCUAGAUGUUCGAGGGUUUCCGCCCUUGAAUGUCGCAGCU